GAUGAACGCUGGCGGCGUGCCUAAUACAUGCAAGUCGAGCGGACAGAUGAGGAGCUUGCUCCUCUGACGUUAGCGGCGGACGGGUGAGUAACACGUGGAUAAACUACCUAUAAGACUGGGAAAAAUUCGGGAAACCGGAGCUAAUACCGGAUAAUAUAUUGAACCGCAUGGUUCAAUAGUGAAAGACGGGUUUUCUGUCACUUAUAGAUGGAUCCGCGCCGCAUUAGCUAGUUGGUAAGGUAACGGCUUACCAAGGCAACGAUGCGUAGCCGACCUGAGAGGGUGAUCGGCCACACUGGAACUGAGACACGGUCCAGACUCCUACGGGAGGCAGCAGUAGGGAAUCUUCCGCAAUGGGCGAAAGCCUGACGGAGCAACGCCGCGUGAGUGAUGAAGGUCUUCGGAUCGUAAAACUCUGUUAUUAGGGAAGAACAAAUGUGUAAGUAACUAUGCACGUCUUGACGGUACCUAAUCAGAAAGCCACGGCUAACUACGUG
rnacentral:rRNA from 1 species